ACUCCUACGGGAGGCAGCAGUGGGGAAUAUUGCACAAUGGGCGCAAGCCUGAUGCAGCCAUGCCGCGUGUAUGAAGAAGGCCUUCGGGUUGUAAAGUACUUUCAGCGGGGAGGAAGGCAAUACGGUUAAUAACCGUGUUGAUUGACGUUACCCGCAGAAGAAGCACCGGCUAACUCCGUGCCAGCAGCCGCGGUAAUACGGAGGGUGCAAGCGUUAAUCGGAAUUACUGGGCGUAAAGCGCACGCAGGCGGUCUGUCAAGUCGGAUGUGAAAUCCCCGGGCUCAACCUGGGAACUGCAUUCGAAACUGGCAGGCUUGAGUCUUGUAGAGGGGGGUAGAAUUCCAGGUGUAGCGGUGAAAUGCGUAGAGAUCUGGAGGAAUACCGGUGGCGAAGGCGGCCCCCUGGACAAAGACUGACGCUCAGGUGCGAAAGCGUGGGGAGCAAACAGGAUUAGAAACCCGUGUAGUCCCA
rnacentral:rRNA from 1 species